rnacentral:rRNA from 1 species
AUUGAACGCUGGCGGCAUGCCUUACACAUGCAAGUCGAACGGUAACAGGUCUUCGGAUGCUGACGAGUGGCGAACGGGUGAGUAAUACAGCGGAACGUGCCCAGACGUGGGGGAUAACGAGGCGAAAGCUGUGCUAAUACCGCAUACGAACUAAGGAUGAAAGCAGGGGACCGCAAGGGCUUGAGCGAUUUGAGCGGCCGAUGGCAGAUUAGGUAGUUGGUGGGAUAAAAGCUUACCAAGGCGACGAUCUGUAGCUGGUCUGAGACGACGAGCAGCCACACUGCGACUGAGACACGGCCCAGCCUCCUACGGGAGGCAGCAGUGGGGCAUUUUCGACAAUGGGCGAAAGCCUGUUCCAGCAAUGCCGCGUGAAGGAUGAAGGCCUUCGGGUUGUAAACUGCUUUUGUACGGAACGAAAAGGCUCUGGCUAAUACCUGGGGCACAUGACGGUACCGUAAGAAUAAGCCCCGGCUAACUACGUG